rnacentral:rRNA from 1 species
GAUGAACGCUGGCGGCGUGCUUAACACAUGCAAGUCGAACGAACCUUCGGGUUAGUGGCGGACGGGUGAGUAACGCGUGAGAAUCUGCCCUCAGGAGGGGGAUAACGGCUGGAAACGGCCGCUAAUACCCCAUAUGCCGAGAGGUGAAAUGAAUUUCGCCUGAGGAUGAGCUCGCGUCUGAUUAGCUAGUUGGUGUGGUAAAGGCUCACCAAGGCAUCGAUCAGUAGCUGGUCUGAGAGGAUGAUCAGCCACACUGGGACUGAGACACGGCCCAGACUCCUACGGGAGGCAGCAGUGGGGAAUUUUCCGCAAUGGGCGCAAGCCUGACGGAGCAACGCCGCGUGAGGGAUGAAGGCCUCUGGGCUGUAAACCUCUUUUAUCAAGGAAGAAGAUCUGACGGUACUUGAUGAAUAAGCCACGGCUAAUUCCGUGCCAGCAGCCGCGGUAAUACGGGAGUGGCAAGCGUUAUCCGGAAUUAUUGGGCGUAAAGCGUCCGCAGGCGGUC